rnacentral:rRNA from 1 species
UGCAAGUCGAGGGGCAGCAUGUCCAGCAAUGGAUGAUGGCGACCGGCGGAAGGGUGCGUAACGCGUGAGCAACAUGCCCUAUACAGGGAGAUACACCAGGGAAACUUGGUCUAAUAUCCCAUAGCAUUCAUUGAAGGCAUCUUUAAUGAAUUAAAGCUUCGGUGGUAUAGGAUUGGCUCGCGUGACAUUAGCCAGAUGGUGAGGUAACGGCUCACCAUAGCAAUGAUGUCUAGGGGUUUUGAGAGGAAGGCCCCCCCACACUGGGACUGAGACACGGCCCAGACUCCUACGGGAGGCAGCAGUGAGGAAUAUUGGACAAUGGAUGGAAAUCUGAUCCAGCCAUGCCGCGUGCAGGAAGACGGCCUUAUGGGUUGUAAACUGCUUUUAUACGGGAGCAAUAAGGGUUACGAGUAAUCCGAUGAGAGUACUGUAUGAAUAAGGAUCGGCUAACUCCGUGCCAGCAGCCGCGGUAAUACGGAGGAUCCGAGCGUUAUCCGGAAUUAUUGGGUUUAAAGGGUGCGUAGGCGGCCAUUUAAGUCAGCGGUGAAAUUUUGCAGCUUAACUGUAACAGUGCCGUUGAUACUGUUUGGCUAGGAUUUAGUUGUAGUGUGCGGAAUGUGUGGUGUAGCGGUGAAAUGCUUAGAUAUCACACAGAACACCGAUUGCGAAGGCAGCACACUAAGUCAUUAUUGACGCUGAGGCACGAAAGUGUGGGGAUCAAACAGGAUUAGAUACCCUGGUAGUCCACACUGUAAACGAUGAUAACUCGCUGUCGGCGAUACACAGUCGGGGCCAAGCGAAAGC